rnacentral:rRNA from 1 species
UACACAUGCAAGUCGAGGGGUAACAGGGAUUGCUUGCAAUCCGCUGACGACCGGCGAACGGGUGCGUAACGCGUAUGCAACCUACCUUUUACAGGGGGAUAGCCCAAAGAAAUUUGGAAUAACACCCCAUACGAUCUUUAUUUGGCAUCAAUUAGAGAAGAAAACUCAGGUGGUAAAAGAUGGGCAUGCGUCCUAUUAGUUAGUUGGUAAGGUAACGGCUUACCAAGACUACGAUAGGUAGGGGUCCUGAGAGGGAGAUCCCCCACACUGGUACUGAGACACGGACCAGACUCCUACGGGAGGCAGCAGUGAGGAAUAUUGGACAAUGGAGGCAACUCUGAUCCAGCCAUGCCGCGUGCAGGAAGACUGCCCUAUGGGUUGUAAACUGCUUUUAUACAGGAAGAAUUGCAUCUACGUGUAGUUGCUUGACGGUACUGUACGAAUAAGGAUCGGCUAACUCCGUGCCAGCAGCCGCGGUAAUACGGAGGAUCCAAGCGUUAUCCGGAAUUAUUGGGUUUAAAGGGUCCGUAGGCGGUUUUUUAAGUCAGAGGUGAAAUCCUGCAGCUCAACUGUAGCAUUGCCUUUGAUACUGAAAGACUUGAGUUAUUGUGAAGUAGUUAGAAUGUGUAGUGUAGCGGUGAAAUGCAUAGAUAUUACACAGAAUACCGAUUGCGAAAGCAGAUUACUAACAAUAUACUGACGCUCAUGGACGAAAGCGUGGGUAGCGAACAGGAUUAGAUACCCUGGUAGUCCACGCCGUAAACGAUGGAUACUAGCUGUUCGAUCAACAUUGGUUGAUUGAGUGGUUAAGCGAAAGUGAUAAGUAUCCCACCUGGGGAGUACGCUCGCAAGAGUGAAACUCAAAGGAAUUGACGGGGGCCCGCACAGCGGUGGAGCAUGUGUUUAAUUCGAUGAUACGCGAGGAACCUUACCAGGCUUAAAUGUAAGUUGCAUAGAUCAGAGAUGAUCUUUUCUUCGGACUACUUACAGGUGCUGCAUGGUGUCGUCAGCUCGUGCCGUGAGGUGUCAGGUUAAGUCCUAUAAACGAGCGCACCCCUUGUCGCUUAGUUGCCAGCAAGAAAUUGUGGGGGGUAU